ensembl:snoRNA
UUUCCCAUUUGUUUGCUGCUGUGGUGUCCCAAUGCUAUGAGUCGUUCUAUGCAUGGGAUAAACUAAUACUGGGCCGUUGUAAACGGAGAUGAAGUAAUAGUGUCAUCUCUCCUGCAUGGUCUAGACAUCG